AACUGCUUCGCCGAGCGCAGCUGGAUACGACCGUAGAGGUCCAACCCUGAACAGUUGGGGCAAAAAUGGACACUAUAUUAAUAAAUAAUAAAUAAUUCACCAAAGUUUCAUGCGAACUACUUAAAAGUAUUUUUGAGUUAUUGUCCAAAAACUGGAAAAUCCUCCCUUUUUUAAUGAAUAAAACCCCAUAACUCAGAAAUGUAAAAUCUAAAAUUUAUAAAAUUCUAAAGGGAGCUUACAUCAACAGAUAUUAACAAUUCACCAAAGUUUCAUUAGAACUGCUGAAAGCAUCUUUUAGUUAUUGUCUGAAAACUGGAAAUUCCCCCUCUUUUAUGAAUAAAACCCUGUAACUCAUAAACGUAAAAUCUAAAAUUUAUAACUAUCGAAAGGGAGCUCAUGUCAAUAGAUAUAUACAAUUCACCAAAAUUUCUUGCAAGUUGGUGACAGCAUUCUUGAGUUAUUGUCGGAAAACUGGAAAAUCCCCCCUUUUUUAAUGAAUAAAACCCCAAAACUCAGAAACGGUAAAUCUGAAAUUUAUAAAAAAUGAAAGGGAGCUCACGUCAAUAGAUAUAAACAAUUCACCAAAGUUUCAUGCAUAUUAUUUAAAGUGUUUUUAGUAAAUGUCCAACAUGCUGACGACAGACGGAUGGACUGACAACGGUAUACCGUAAUACGUCCCGUAAACGGGCAUAUAAAAAUCAGUUGAAAAGGGCUUAACUCAUCAGAUCGAAACAAAGCAGAAAUACACAGACCGGACGUGGCAGGGUACUUAUACAUCCCCACAACAAAAAAGACACUAAGUACAGAUCUGAGAGUACUCACAGUCACUGACAGCUAGUUCAAAGCCAAUAACUAAUAAAAAAAUCAUGCAUCUAAGACUGAAAUAUCAAUCAGUAUACAUCCAACCCCAUUUCUUACAUAAUUAUAUUUUACAUUGAAAUAUUAAAAGCGACAUUAAUAAAUCAACAAUAAUGGUGUAGCAUUUUUCUAGUGUCAUAUUUGCAUCUGUUCUCUCUAAAAUUGUAAUUUAAAAAAAAACUUAAUUUACAAUUCACCUUGACAAGAACUGGUUAGGCAUUUUCAUUUCUGGGGAUACAAUGUAUAAUAAGAGUUUAUCACAACAGUUUUUAUUUUAAUACAAACACUUAAAAAGCCAUACAAAUGGUUAUCAAAAACAAGGUAAAAGUGAAGUGUAAUAUACCGGUAUAAAUAAAAAUAUCUGCAGAUUCAAGUACAU